AACAUCCCACAUAAUUACACCCACUGGGAAGCAUUAAAAUUCAUGAACUUUUUCCAUAUAUGUGCCUAGGGAUGUAUAGUUACUUACUUACUUACGUUUGCUUCCUUACCUUAACCAUGUAAUCCAUAUAACUGCAUCAGGAUAUUUUGGGUACUUUGCCAAGCCCUCAUCCAUUUUUAUGUUUUUGGUGAUGCUAUCCAUGGUUUCA
rnacentral:misc_RNA from 1 species